GCCACCCUGUACACACAGUGUUAAAAUAUCAGGGUACCCAAACCCCAAGCACAGCAAGGCUUCUAGCUGAGUGGAACCCAUGACAUGUUAGUCUGCCCUGGAUCUCACCAUUGGGCUCGUGACCACAACCAAACGGGAAGGGACUCAGGAUAAAAUCAAUUCAGAGUGUAGGACAGGCACAGAGCCACCCCAAGCCUUGGAGGUGCUUCUCGAAUGGACCAGGAAGACAUCAGGUAUUGUCCAAAUCCAUCUGUCUGGCCAAUGCAUCCAUCUAUGACAAAGGUCCGGUGGAAAAUUGCUGGAGGGGCUAGGAGGGGCCCCUUGGACACCCACCUCUGAAGUGUGGGCGGGAUGUGUGACACUCUGUACCAACAGUCGCCGCCAGAAGUGACAGGGUGUCUUUCCAUGAUUAGGCAUCCACGUAAAUAAGACUCCAUUUUGUGAGCAGGCAUGCAGGACUCUCCCUCGCUGGUCUUGAGGAAGCUGUUGUACCUCUUUACCAUGGCAAGGAGCCACGGGCAAAGUAGUGACUGAGAGCCGCUUCCCACCCGAAGCCAAAGCUGCGGCUUGAGGCUAAAAAGGAGUGCCCUCGACCUGCAGGAGCCCGGAAACAGAUCUCCACCUUCGAGCCUGCCUCGGAUGAAUAGCAGCCUGUGUCAAGGCUAGAGCCCAGAACCCAGCUGAGCCAAGCCCAGGCUUCUGGUUACAGAGACACUGAGGCACCAGUGUGUGAUUGUAAGCAGCUAAGUGCAUAAUCAUCUGUCUUGUGGCAAGAGCUGUCUAGUAAGGAGAGGAAGAAAUAACAUGGUCUGCAGGUCUCACACUUUUACACCCACCCUCCUUCCUCAGCUCCUCAAAUGUUGGCAUUACAGUAUCUACAGGUCAGCAGAAUCGAGCGUUCACAUGUUGUGUGCAACCAUCACCAUCCAUCUUCAGAUGUGCUCACGUGGAAAAAUGAAAACUCUUGGCCCCUUAAACACAAACUCCUCAUCCCACCCCACCCUCCGGCCGUGGAGGCACCCUUCUGCUUUCUGACUCCAUGAGUCCAGCCACUCUGGGGAAUUCAGGUAAAUGGAACCAUACAAUGCUUGUCCUUUUAUGACUCACUCGUUCCAUUCAGGAUUCCUUCGGAGUCCGUCUCCAGUCAAGCACAUGUCAGGACUCCCCUCUCCUCGAAGGCUGACUCUGUAUGUAUAUUAGAAGCUGCAGUUUGCAUCCCCCGCUGCACAUAUGGACCACAUCCUGCUUACCUAUCUGUCUGUGAUAGGCCCCUGUAUGUGAAUCAGGAUGCUAGCAACACAGAUGUGUGCGCAUCUCUUUGGGUCUCUGCUCUCAGUCCGUUAGGAAAUGGACCUAGAAGAACUGCGGGAUCACAUGGUACCCUAGGUUUAACUUUUUGGGGGACCCGCCAGGCUGUUUUUCACAGUGCCUAUAUUUGUUCCUAUUGCUAUUGGUAGCUGAGCACUUGGACACACCAGGCUGAAGUGGUAUGGGAAAGCAGGGGUGACGGGGAGUCCAUCUGGAAUAUAAGACCCCCAGCUCAUUGCAUCGGUGACAGAAAGAACCCCAGGAUGGGAACACCAUUAGCCGGAGACUUUUCCUAAUCAGGGACCCUUUUCUUUUCCUUGAAUAGUUGUUUCCUAAUGAGCCAGAGACGACCCUGUGUGGUGGUCUUCAACAUCUGUUGUUUAUGCCUGUCUGCCAGGCUAGGACUCAAAUACCACUGCUACCAAACUGAAAUUCUUGCAUACUUUAAGUCAAGGCCAUACAAAUAUGUAGAGCCAGCCUACUUUACAAAGUCCACGAAAGCAUGCCCAACAUCUGCUAACCCAACACAAGGCAGAUUCUGUUCUGUGAGAGACACUGUAUAGUCCGGCUUCUCCAGAGAAACAGAACCGUUAGGGUGUACAAACAUGUGAACAUAUAAUAGACAUGUAGACACAAUAUACUGUGUAUUAGUAUAGUGUGUGUAUACUAAUAUAAUAUAUGGUGUGCGUCUACAAUAUACUAGAUAGAUAGAUAGAUAGAUAGAUAGAUAGAUAGAUAGAUAGAUAGAUAGAUAGAUAGAUAGAUAUUGAAAAGGAAUUGGAUGACACAGUUAUGGAGGCUGAGAAUUCCUAAGGUGUGUGCUUGGCACACAGCAAGCUGACUGACCAGAACAGCCCUGAGGCAGGAGAAGGCAAUGUCCCAGCUCAGAGUCAGGCAGACCCCAAGUUCUCCCUAUAUGUCUUCCUUACUGGGGCCUGCAGCAGACUGAAGAGAACAUAUUACUUGACUCAGUCAGCAGGCACAUAGUUUCAUGCAGAGACAUCCUCAUACAGUACAGAUUUAUAUUCGGCUAAAUGCUCCAGCUCCUUAAGAGUGGAUUCCACCAGUCAGCCUCCAUAGGUUCACAACUGCCCUGGUCCUUUGAAAUGCUCUAGCCUAGAGCCUCCCGGUGACAAAGGCAGUCUCCUAUUCUCCUUCUCCCGGGGAGUUGCCUUGCCCUCUCUUGGAGUGGCUGCCCUGAUUGCAAUCCCAGAAGUUCCUUUGUUAGGAGCAGCUCUUGAGCUAGUCCGCAUGCCCCAGCACCGCCUUGAAACCUGUGCAGCAACAGCGCCACCUGGUGGUCUGCCUUCUUCCCGCCUCAGCCCCGAAAUCUUGAAGAGCCCCCUUUCCAAGACCAGAAGACCCCUUUUCUCCCUUCCGACCUCAUCCACGUGCUUGAGAAUACGCUGCUCUCAAUCACCGUGUCUUCUGCACCAAGUCCGUUCUCAAGCCCCCUGGAUUUAUAUCCUUGUCCGGGGAAUUCUGAACCAAGGUUGGGGAGUGGGCGCGCACACAGGGUGAAGGACAGCCUGACGUAUUCAUGCUUAGCACAGUGCACGGCGUAUAGACCACGCUCGCUGAACGCCUGAGCUAACCGAAACAAGCGUGGCAAAUAAUAUUAGACUGACCACGUCGUCAUGCGAAGGAUGUUUUUUUUUUUUUCCCCAGCAGGCCCGGUGAUUGCAAUAGUAUGGUAUGAAAGACACUCAACUGUAUUUAUUUCUUUACUGUUUGUAUGAAAGACACUCAACUGUAUUUAUUUCUUUACUGUUUCUUUUUAAGCAAGACUAUAAAGCUCUGGUUUCAGUAAAACUUGGGGAAAAAAAAAAAAAAAAAAACAGGAGGGGAAAAAGUUCCUUCCUAACCAAACAGUCAAGGUCUCUAAAUUUAAACAGUGAGAUUUCCCCUCCAAUCCCUAUUUGGUAGAAGGCUGCACUAUUAUGUAACCUUGCCUGUUGCCAAAACAGAAUGUAAAUUAGCGAAAGGUAAAAAAAACAAAAAACUGUAUGUUUAAAAAAAAAUCUUAAUUCUUUUUGAUCCUGGGGGGAAAAAAUGAAGAAAGCAACUGCCCUUCUAAUCUUUCAUUUGCCUUUUUAUUAUUAAUAUGUACAUUUGGAAUGCUUUCCCUUCACGAAAAUAUGUUAGAGGGAGAGUUAAUGUUCUUCAUAAGAUGACAGGCAGAACCUGUCAAAUGCUAUUUACAGCUUGCAGCAGAGAGCUGAAGAAUAAUUUAUUUGGCUUAUUAAGUUCUGCCUAUGCCCAAAAGCCAACGAAACUCCCAACCCCUCAAAUUCUGAAAUGUCAGAACCCUGUGAUUAAAUGUCUUGAUAUCCAC